rnacentral:lncRNA from 1 species
CCCUCCCUUCUCCACGCCCCCCCCACCCCCCAGCCUUUGGCAUCAUUAUCCUCAUCACUAAAUCCUGCAGAGUACUGGGCGGAAAGCGGUGCACAC